GGGAGGAUGGGGGUGGAAAGAAGAAUUGAAAUUUCAUCGAUGAUAGCUUUUAAUUAUUAAUAAACAAAUAUUAUUUAAACGUUAAGGAAAUUUAUUAAGAGAAACUUACUGUCCAAAUUCACCGAGUAUUAUUGCACCGAUGCCAAGAAGAGCAACGGCGACAAGAAUGUACGUGGAGAUGCGUGUUUGCAGCCAAGAAGCGCCCACUACCUUCAGCAUGGCUCAUCGGUAAGCUAAGCACCUUGGUAACGAAGAAAAGAAAAAGGUGGAAGGCACGAGUUUCGCGUUCUCAACCCAUCGAUUACAGAAGCCUGCUCCGUGGCCUCUUCUAACGCUCUUAGAAGUUGCCGGUACGCGCGUAUCCUAUUUUCACUGCAAUAAAUCAAAUGGAAAGAAAACCAAAAAAAAAAA